rnacentral:rRNA from 1 species
UACGGAGGGUGCGAGCGUUGUCCGGAAUCACUGGGCGUAAAGGGCGCGUAGGCGGCGCGGUAAGCGUGCGGUGAAAGUCCGGGGCUCAACCCCGGAUCGGCCGUGCGGACUGCCGGGCUCGAGCACUGUAGGGGCGGGUGGAACUCCGGGUGUAGCGGUGGAAUGCGUAGAGAUCCGGAAGAACACCGGUGGCGAAGGCGACUUCCUGGCCUGUUCUUGACGCUGAGGCGCGAAAGCUAGGGGAGCAAACGGG